GUGAGGAAUAUUGCGCAAUGGCCGAAAGCCUGACGCAGCGACGCCGCGUGGAGGAUGAAGGUCUUCGGAUUGUAAACUUCUGUUAAGUGGGAAGAAAGGGCUGCUUUUAAUAGAAGCAGUUAAUGACGGUACCAUUAAAGAAAGCACCGGCUAAACUCGUGCCAGCAGCCGCGGUAAUACGAGUGGUGCAAGCGUUAUUCGGAAUAAUUGGGCGUACAGGGUGUGUAGGCGGUAUGUUAAGUCUGUUGUUAAAGACUCCGGCCUAACCGGAGACAGGCAGCGGAAACUGGCGUACUAGAGGGUGGAAGAGAGAAGUGGAAUUCUCGGUGUAGCGGUAAAAUGCGUAGAUAUCGAGAGGAACACCGAUGGCGAAGGCAGCUUCUUGGUCCAUACCUGACGCUGAAACACGAAAGCGUGGGGAGCAAACAGGAUUAGAUACCCUGGUAGUCC
rnacentral:rRNA from 1 species